UGCGGAUAAAUAAAAUACAUGUCAAUCGAAUAAUCCAUCGUUGUUUUAUUGGAAUUUAAAGUUCUAUAGCUCUAAAAAAAAACACCCUUUAGUAUUCAUUUACUUUCUAAAAUACCUGAGAAAACUGCUAGAUAUCUUAAUUUCUAAAUCCAAUCUUGUGCACUGUUCGAAAGUUUUUUGAGAGUUCUAAGAACCAUUCAAAUUUUGUGAUUCUGUAUCAUAUAAAAUAAAAAGUCUUAUUAACAUGGGUCUUUCUUGUAGUCCUACUCUUUUGUGAUGAUUAUAACAGUUCGAAUCUUUAUUAGUGUUCGCUAUACAGAUUGAGUUAAUGAUGAGUACCAAAACUUGUAUGUAAUUAAUUUAUUCAUCAAAUCUCAUCUACUGAUUGGAUCUUCAUAAUGAUUUGUAUUUUCCUGAGGAUUACUAGAGGACUGUUUGAAUUUUUUUUUUUUGAAAUCGAAAGCAAAAACUACAAAAUUACAUGAAACCAAAAACUGUUAUACUGAGCCAAAGUUUCUACUACUAGAGGACCACCAAAAAAAAAAGUUCUGUGAAGCGGGCACUAUUCCAGAAAAAAUAUCACCCUGUAGAUUUCCAUUCAAAAUGAAAUCUUCAAAUUGAAAUAUCUAUGCCAAAUUUAAGUUAAAUACCUUGUGAGGGGAAGGUGACUCUCAAUUUUGAUCACCGAUAUAAAAUAGUCUAAAAUUUAAUAUUUUCACUUUUUUUUCUUUGUUUAUGAGCCCAUGAGUUUCUGGAUUGUUUGUUUUUUUCGUAUGGUACGGUAUGAGAGCGCAGUUGCACAUAUGAUAGGCAUUUGACUGGUGUUAGAAUUGAAUAUAUUUCAACAAUGAAUUGGUUUUGCUUUUCGAACAGAGAAUUGGUCGUUUUUACGCAAAUAAUGUUCGAUAAGUUUAUGCAAUUGUUAUGGAAGUGUUUCUAUUGCCUUUAUGAGUCAUCUUACUUGUAGAAGACACUUUUUUACUACUUAAGACGAAUGAAAUUGUAAUAAAACCUACCCAAAAAGUCGAUCAACAUCUUAAGGCUUCUUUCUUCUUAUCUUGCCGUAAAUAUCUACCUAACUAUAUUAGGACCAUUGAGGUACGAAAUUUCCAAGGUCAUCAGAGUGCAGUUUUUUUCGACCACAGGAAACAGAGAUCAAUAAUCAAGUUAUCACAAUAUCAAAUUGGACUUAGAAGAAAAUAUUGGAAUUCUGUACGCAGAGGUGAACACUACAAACACAGAGGUCAGAUCAAAUUUUCUGAUUGUUUAUUAAUCUUGAAUUUUCUUUCAUUGUAAAUUUUUAUUGUAAGCUAGGUAUAAAGUUAGGUAUACAAGAGUGCACGAAUUUUUAACGAGUUAUUCUUUUUUGAACAGACAGACAUUGAUGGCAGUUGUUGAUAACUAAUUCAUUUUCUCACUUGAAGUACCUUUUUUUUUUUGAAUAUGUGAUUUUUCGUAGAUUGAUAAAUGAAGUCUUGCUCUGAAAGAUCGUCAGCAAAAGAGAUAUUAUAAAAUAUGUGAACCAGUUUCUGAUAAAACGUAAAAUUAUUA